GCUCCCCAGCCGAGGGCCGCCGCGCUGCGGGUCUCCGCACAGCCUUUUUCAAAGGACAGCGGGAGAUCCGUCGUCUUUGACGCCUUGCCUGCUCCUAAGUCUCUGAAGUGGGCGUGGGCGCCGCGAGCGUCCCCGCGCCCCGCGCCCCUUGCCCUGCCCAGUGCUUUGGCUUUGCUUGGCUUCGCUCCAGGACCCUCCUCCCAAACUGAUGAUCAGGUUUUUCUCCCCGCGUGCUGAUUUACCCUGUUUGCUGGUACCGUAUGAAAUCAUCUUUAAAUCACUUUAUCUUGCCCUUUCAGAAGCCUCGACUUCGAGAGACAAGGCCUAAGCCCACGGAACAUUAAAUCAUAAGAAUAUCACAGGGCAGUUAGUUUCCAGGAUCUUUUAAAAAGGUCUGAUUAGCCCAUGCCUUUGAUCCCAGCACUGGGAGCCAGAGGCAGGUGGAUCUCUGUGAAUGUAAGGCCAGCCUGGUCUACAUAUUGAGUGACUUGUUGAAGAUUCCCAGUGAGCCCUGAUCCAAACCUAGACCCCGUGACCAGAUGUGGUAGCACAGACCUACAGUCCCACCACUCUGCAGGCUGAAGCAAGGAGGAUCAGGAAUCCAGUGGCAGUCUGAGCUACUUAAUGAGAUACCUAUUUCAAAACAAACAACAGGGUUGUGGGGAGAACCUAGAUGCUGUCAUCUAAACUCUUUACUCUCCCAUCAUAUUAAAGGUGUGUGAACACUCCCCUGCAAGAGCCGCCCGCGCACACACGAGAAGUCACGGACACCCAGUGCUUUUCAGCUCGUGCUUUUCAUUUCCUGGUGUUGGUUGGAUCUGAUAGCAUUGCUGCUUGGCUUUUCAAACCCGUCCCUUUUGCUUGGCCUGUAACAGUCAAUACCACAUCCCCAGAGCGUGUAACCACGGAACUCUUCGGGAAGCCCAACAAGUAUUUAGAUCAAAGCAGACAAGAAAAAAAAAAGUUCAUGGUGAAUUCGUUGCUGUAGAAAGAGAUACCAUUUCAUCUCCAGCUUUUUGUUUGUUUCUGUGGGGUUUUUGUUUGUUUGUUUGGUUGGUUGGUUGGUUGUUUUUUUGCUAUAUAUGAGACUAAACAACAUCUAAGAAUUAAAUUCCUUUUGUCGAAUUGGUGUAAGAAGUAUCAAAUAAGAGUCUUUUCUCACUUGCAAAUGUUUUAAUCCUUAGUCACACUAAAACCCUUGUUAACUCAGAGACCUGCUGCUCCAGUCUAGGAAUUGGAUGUCCUUUUUUUGUUUGGAGCAGGGACGCCUUUGGCUUUCUCCAUUUCCUGUGUGCCAGUUCUUUUCAAGCUAGCCCAUUAAGUAAGGUUGGAAGGUCUGCCCCAGCCAGCGGGGAAAACACACAGGCACAGCUUCCUUAGAGGAAGAACAGAAAAACAGGUGCACUUCCUGUCCAGGAGUCACUCAGGGACACCAUCUUAAGGAUGUGGCCUGUGACAAGAGCUGGGCCAGUGCCAAGGAGUCAUUUGGACUGACGGUGGGAGCGGCCGUGGUACCCUUCAUCAGUGUGACUAGAGUGUGUCUAACAGAGGAGCUUACCAAGAGGAGGCUUUGGGUUGGCGUCUGAAGCCGUGAGGAGCCUCUCACGCUUGAGUGAGGCAGAGUUGACAGACGUCAAUAAACAGGCAAAGCAUCUCUAUUUAAAAACACUGCUCGGCAGCUGUGUCUCAAGCACCCAGGGGUUGUCCGUAUGAGGCUAAGUAGGCAAAGUCCCGUGAGUGUGCACUGGUCCCUAUUGGUAACUUGAAUCCAGUGGAGGAGGCUGAUGCUAGUCGUAGAACAGAAGCAAAGCCAAAUUACACCGUGGUGGUUGUGACAGGGAAAAGGUACAAAUACACUAAACCCACAGUGGCUUGUAAAAUUACAGUAGGGAAUGCCGAUCUGGAGCCCUAUAAGAAGACUUUGGCCAUUGUCUAACAUGGACAAGAACCAUGGUGAACAAAGGCUAAAGAGGAAUCACCAAAACAGUGUGUGUGCGUUCAUUUUGCCCUAAUUAGAAAGGA